GCUUAGACCUCUUCCACUAUUCCCUCCAUCCCUCAGUAACAUGACACUUGCCAGCCACAGAUAGGUCUCUCCGUUCACAUGUCCUACCAAACCAAAUAUGGCUGACAGCUGUCCAUGGACUUGCCCAAGGUCCCACCAAGCCAAGAGAGGUCAAGCAGAAACUCCAAGCCGGCUCACAGACACCCUCACCUCUGCCUCCAAGACUUUGGGCCAGUUGCUACAGGAGUAAAGAUCACAGCCAGGGCCACAAGGGGUGGAAACGUACAGGCAGCACUGGGGGCUGGGAUGUCACCCAAGCUCUGUCCCCACCGCUCCCUAGGCAGCUCCAGGUGCUACAUGUUCAGGGAAAAGGCAAGAAACUGAGCUAUGGACCCUCCCAGGAUUCCUGCCCAUCCUGAGAUCACCUCAACACAGCCACAGGCUGGGAGAAGGCAGGCACCCAACCCGUGGACUUGGCAGAGAAAUUAAUACUUUCAGGCUAAAAACCAGGGUGAAGCCCUCCAAUCAGCCUGGGGUGUGAGCAUUCUCAAGGGUAUACGCACUCGUGUUUGCAUUGAACAAAGAUGAAGUGGGAACAGGUCCCAGGCCGACCCCUGGUGGUUCUUCCGAACUACGGCUCUACCAGGAGACAGUUGAAGGUAAAACCACGAGCAACAAA